rnacentral:lncRNA from 1 species
AGGACAGAAAUGUUCACAAAAUGCUUGAACUUGUUUUGAAACUGCCAUGCUUUCUAUACAGGAGUUAAUCAGAGGGCAGUCUGUACCUUCAUAUUUUUCCAACUGCACAACAAAUCCAACCAGCCUACAGUUACUGCACCAACAUCGGUUAGCUGACUGCAGAUGGGUUUCCAUCUUUACUUACCAGCUUAAUUUCACUGAGGGAACUUCUGUUGAAUGAUCAAAUUGAAAGCUUCUUAAAUGCCCAGGUAAAGUAUAUUGACCAGACACUCAACACAGCAUCCUUACUGAUGUCUUCAAAGAACUUAAGUAGACUUGUGGUGAUUACUUUUCUCCAACAUAUUAAUGCUAGCUAUCUUCUGAUAUGUUUAUUUAUGUGUGGACUAAUUCUGUUCUCUGUUAUACGUCUGACUUAAUGCAGUGGUCAGUCUUAAUAGCCUGUGGUCUCCUGGGGCUAAUUAGGAAAGUAGGCUUCACAGUUGCUGCCUUUCAUUCCCCUGGCACAAUAAUUAACUACAGCAGUAAGCUUAUCUGUUAGAAAUGCAAAGUAUUUUUUUAUCUUUUAUAACUCUUGGCUAAGUCACUGCAAUAUUGUCUAACAUAUUGAAUAUUCAAUAAUAGCUGGGAUGUGGGGGGGUUAGGGAAGUAAGAAAAAAGAAUGCUUGAAUUCUAUUUUAUUUUAGCAUGUUUUAUAGUACUAGACUUGUCAGUGCUGGAUUCUGUUCCCAGUUUAACUACAGAUUUCUACUGUAACUGAGUUCCUAAAUUCCUGCUGUAAAAGAUUGUUUUGGUUCAUUGAGAGUUAAGUAUUUCCAUACCAAACAGAAUUCUAAUUAUCCCUUAUACUGUAAGCACCCAGUUUAUUUUGGGAGACAAUAGUAUGUAGCAGCAAAAGGGCAGCAAAAUUAUUGCAAUAUUAAUAAAAAUGCAUCACAACAGUCA